rnacentral:rRNA from 1 species
GUCGAGAAUCUUUCACAAUGGGGGCAACCCUGAUGGAGCGACGCCGCGUGGAGGAUAAGGUCUUCGGAUUGUAAACUCCUGUCAUGCGUGAACAAGGUUGCUUGGUUAAUACCUGGGCAAAUUGAUGGUAACGCAAGAGGAAGAGACGGCUAACUCUGUGCCAGCAGCCGCGGUAAUACAGAGGUCUCAAGCGUUGUUCGUAAUCACUGGGCGUAAAGGGUGCGUAGGUGGCGUGGUAAGUCAGAUGUGAAAGCCCGGGGCUCAACAUCGGAACUGCAUCCGAUACUGCCAUGCUAGAGUACUGGAGAGGUGACUAGAAUUCUCGGUGUAGCAGUGAAAUGCGUAGAUAUCGAGAGGAAUACCAAAGGCGUAGGCAGGUCACUGGACAGUUACUGACACUGAGGCACGAAGGCCAGGGGAGCGAACGGGAUUAGAUACCCGUGUAGUCC